rnacentral:lncRNA from 1 species
ACUGCAGUAGUGAAAAUGAAGCGCACGAUGGGCGGAAGCUAGGAAGACAAACAUAAAGAUGAAGUGCUUAAUUCAAGGUCACACAAUGUCGGGGAUGGACCUCCAGAUUUCCUUACUGACCUGCAUUAUCUUGUGGAUACCUGAGUGAAUUCCACACCACCCAUUUUAUAGAUGAAACCACUGAGACAUGGAGCAAUUGACUGAGUAGUCACUGCCCCACCCCUGCCUGGAGCCUCACACAUGACUCGCCUCCUCUCAGUGACCACAGGUGAGACGUGGUCUUGUAACACAGUGGUUAAGAAUGUGACUUUGGAGCCAGCCUGCUAGGGGCUGAAUUCUGACUCAGCCAUUUACUAACUGUGUGACCUUAGUUCCCUGAGCACAUGCUGUUGAGUAAUCCUGCCUGGACCAGUACUUCCCUCACCCUAGACUUCACCUUCAGUUCCCCUUUAUACCACCUGCUGAAGCUGCCAGCCAGCCUUUUCGACCACCCUCCCUCCCCCAGGGGUGUUUGGCUUCUCAGACCCCAGCCUGAGCUAGUGCCCUUGGCUUCCUAGGGUCUUGCCAGGAAAGCAAAGGAGAACAUGCAUACCGCCAAAGAGUACCUAAUAAUAAGAACUCCCAUCCUGAAUUGUGAUUUAUAGUCAGCAUAGCACAUGUGUCAGGUGAUUAUACUUAGGCUGAUUUUAGCCUUAAUAAUCUGCUUCUGUGAUCCUGUAUGUGGGAAGCCUAGAAAUUUCUCUGUGAUCCUCCUUCCUGGAUCACUAAGAGACAAGUCAAGACAUAGGUCCAUUCUACCACCUGUGUUAAUCUGGGCCUUGUUGAGACCAUUUAAAGAAAGGCGUGAUGCUAGAAGUAAGGUCCAGGCCUCCUGCACACUGUUUCAAGGCUGUGACCAUAGUCAGAUCCUGUUGCUUGAGUCCAAAGAGUUUAAAAUAGUGUUGGAAACCUCCUAGGGAAAAAACAAAAAACAAAACACCACAUCUUCCUGGGUAAGGAAGUGACAUGUGCUGACUAGAGCAGGAGGGGUAGCCAAGGCUCCAAGUUCUAUUCUGGACCUGUUGUUGAUUUGAGGUGUGACAUUCAGCAAUCUGAGCUGAUGUUCUGUAGCUCUGAUUGGUUUCUCAUCUUCUGCAGAGAGAGUGAAAGAGGCUGUGCUUGCAGGGGAAAAGGUGAACACUGGUCUCCUGUCCUUUAGGAGAGCUUCACCAUUACACGUCCUGCCUCUCAUUUGAAUUUCCAGGCUUUUUUAGAGUCUCGCUCUAUUGCCCAGAUUGGAGUGCAGUGGUGUGAUCUCGGCUCACUGCAACCUCUGCCUCUGGGUUUAAGCGAUUCUCUCACCUCAGCCUCCCAAGUAGCUGGAAUUAUAGGUGCGUGCCACCAUGCCUGGCUAAUUUUUGUGUUUUUAGUAGAGACAGGGUUUCACCAUGUUGGCCAGGCUAGUCUCGAACUCCUGACCUCAAGUGAUCCACCCACCUCGGCCUCCCAACCAGGCUUUUUUAAAUGCAGAAACCGCCCGCCCCCAGAGUUAAUAUGGAAACCCAGCAAUGUUGUUUAUGUUUUACUUGAAUUCGUUUCAUCAGAAUUGCAUUCCUUUUAACAGUGUGAUUAGAUCAGCUCUUAGAGGGGAUGGCAGCUUCAGUAGGGUUUAGGAAAGGAAAGGAAUAUUUGUGUGGGGCACACACUUUGGCUUUGAUAGCUUGAGGAUACCAGGUACAUGAUAAUUUAGAUGGAUAACAGAAACUUGUGUCCCUUGAGAGCCAGGCAUGUAUUAGAUGCUUUCAUACAUUAUUUAAUUGUAAUACAAACCAAUAAAGUAUUCCCAUUUUUUGCACAUGGGCAAGCUGAAAGUCAAAGAAGUUAUGUAACUUGCCCAAGGUCACACAGCUAAUAAAAAGGCUGAGCUAGG